UACAGAGGUCCCGAGCGUUGUUCGGAUUCAUUGGGCGUAAAGGGUGCGUAGGCGGCGAGGUAAGUCGGGUGUGAAAUCUCAGAGCUCAACUCUGAAACUGCACUCGAUACUGCUUUGCUAGAGGACUGGAGAGGAGAUUGGAAUUCACGGUGUAGCAGUGAAAUGCGUAGAGAUCGUGAGGAAGACCAGUGGCGAAGGCGGAUCUCUGGACAGUUCCUGACGCUGAGGCGCGAAGGCCAGGGGGAGCAAACGGGG
rnacentral:rRNA from 1 species